rnacentral:lncRNA from 1 species
CUAGGAUUCUCCAUCUUGCUAAUUAAUCAUUUUGCCCUUUAUGAUCUUUCAAAGUUUCAUCCUUAAAUCAUCACUUAAUUUGGUAAAAUUAUAAUUUAGUCCCUCAUAAUUCUUCACCUAUUCAAUUUGGUCAUUGCAUGCCAAUUUCAUAUCUUAGUAAAUUGGGUUAUUUUCAUUUUUGGUCCUUCAACUUUCUCAUUUUUACACUUCAA